GUUCGAGCGGACAGAAGGGAGCUUGCUCCCGGAUGUUAGCGGCGGACGGUUGAGUAACACGUGGGUAACCUGCCUGUAAGACUGGGAUAACUCCGGGAAACCGGAGCUAAUACCGGAUAGUUCCUUGAACCGCAUGGUUCAAGGAUGAAAGACGGUUUCGGCUGUCACUUACAGAUGGACCCGCGGCGCAUUAGCUAGUUGGUGAGGUAACGGCUCACCAAGGCGACGAUGCGUAGCCGACCUGAGAGGGUGAUCGGCCACACUGGGACUGAGACACGGCCCAGACUCCUACGGGAGGCAGCAGUAGGGAAUCUUCCGCAAUGGACGAAAGUCUGACGGAGCAACGCCGCGUGAGUGAUGAAGGUUUUCGGAUCGUAAAGCUCUGUUGUUAGGGAAGAACAAGUGCAAGAGUAACUGCUUGCACCUUGACGGUACCUAACCAGAAAGCCACGGCUAACUACGUGCCASCAGCCGCGGUAAUACGUAGGUGGCAAGCGUUGUCCGGAAUUAUUGGGCGUAAAGGGCUCCCAGGCGGUUUCUUAAGUCUGAUGUGAAAGCCCCCGGCUCAACCGGGGAGGGUCAUUGGAAACUGGGAAACUUGAGUGCAGAAGAGGAGAGUGGAAUUCCACGUGUAGCGGUGAAAUGCGUAUAGAUGUGGANGAACACCANUGGCGAAGGCGACUCUCUGGUCUGUAACUGACGCUGAAGAGCGAAAGCGUGGGGAGCGAACAGGAUUANAAACCCUGGCAGUCCCCCCCCCAAACCGAUGAAGUGCUAAUUGUUAGGGGGG
rnacentral:rRNA from 1 species